rnacentral:rRNA from 1 species
AUUGAACGCUGGCGGCAGGCCUAACACAUGCAAGUCGAACGAGUGGCGGACGGGUGAGUAAUGUCUGGGAAACUGCCCGAUGGAGGGGGAUAACUACCGGAAACGGUAGCUAAUACCGCAUCCCAUCGGAUGUGCCCAGGUGGGAUUAGAUUGUAGGUGGGGUAACGGCUCACCUAGGCGACGACCCCUAGCUGGUCUGAGAGGAUGACCAGCCACACUGGAACUGAAACACGGUCCAGACUCCUACGUGAGGCAGCAGUGGGGAAUAGUGCCCAGUGGGCGCAAGCCUGGUGCAGCCAUGCCGCGUGUCUGAAGAAGGCCUUCGGGUUGUAAAGUACGUUCAGCGAGGAGGCGUUACUCGCAGAAGAAGCACCGGCUAACUCCGUGCCAGCAGCCGCGGUAAUAC